rnacentral:tRNA from 10 species
GGGAAGAUGGUGUAGUCGGUAACAUGGCGGUCUCCAAAACCGUUGUCAGGGGUUCGAGCCCUCUUCUUCCUGC